rnacentral:ribozyme from 1 species
AGUGGUCAUAGCCACUAUAAAUAGGGCUUUAAGCUAUGAGCGUUCCCACUCUUACAGGGUGGGAGGUAGUC